GUAUUCCCGUCCAAAUACCCUCCGUACUGCCCUGAGGGGGCACUGCAGUCCAGAUACGAAUGACCUCCAGAUGGAAAAGCAGCCACACGUGUGGAAACUGUGUACGUGUGCAUCGGCGUUCGGGUCUGCCGUGAGAAGCGUGUGACUGACAGAAUGAGGUCACCUCUGAUGGGGGGACCUGAGUGCGAGGAUGCCGACCUCCACAUACCACUUUUGCUCGUUACCCAAUGUUUCCCCUGCAUACAUCCAGCAGUACUGCAGUAACGCCGCUGGAAAGAUAGUGCCACUGCAAUCAGCCAUGUGAAAAAUAA
ensembl:lncRNA